ACAGUGUUGUAGUGGUUUUUAAAGUUAUAACUAAAUGCAAUUGUCACUGAAAGCAGUUUAUAUUGUCUACAUUGCUUGUUCUGAAUGUAAGUAGCACAAUAGCAGCUGAUGAACAAACGUGGAGGAAACUGAUGUGUUCUACAUUGUUUCACCAGUCACAACCAGGGAAAAGAAAUAAUAACUCAUUCUGCUUUCCAGUGCAAAUACAGUUACAAAUGUAUAAAUGCUGCUUACAUUGCGCAAUAAAAAUGUUUUGGGGUAAGAUUCCCUUUAAGCAGCUAAACUGGAGCAGAAUAAGCAGCACAAAGUAGUCCCUUAUCAACGAACCGCUAUGGUAACAUGGCACAAUGGCAAAGCUACUUGUACAAUCAGAGCGAGUGUUCGGGCAGCUGAGCUCAUAUCCCAGUCCCUUCUAUCUACACACAGACACACGUGACAUUUCCUGCAUGCCUUCUGCUUCAGUUCCGCCAGGUUCUUGCAGGCAAUCCCGUACUUCUGCUCGAUGUGUAAUGUCCUGGUUUGUAACACCGGAUCUUUUUUCUCGGCGGAGGUACAGCUACUAUACCAUUCUUAUCUCCUGACACGCAUGCUCACUCCUUCCCUGCGCUCUGCCGCAUAACCAAGCGCUCCGGUUCGCAGCCGAACUCCAUCUCCCAGAAUGCUUUGCUUCAAGUCAUUUCGCGCUUGCGCAGUACUUGGGUUUUUGUCAAGCGGUGGUUAUGGAGAUGGGAGAGAAGGAGCGGUGGAACGGGGGCCGGUUCUGUGUAUCGCCUCUGGGACUCGGCCGCUGAUAUUUUGUGCAGCGAUUAAAACUCAGGCCUUGCGACAGAAAGUCCGUCAGGCCUUAGGAGCGGUGAAGUUUGUUUUGUGCUGUGAAUAACUCUGCUUGAACCGGGGGGAUUAUUGCGUGACCUGAAGGAGUUCCCGGCAUUCGCCGCUUCCUGUCUCGUAGCGUCAAGGGCUUUAGAGUCUGGACCUGCAUAAUGCCCCACAAGCUUGGAUUUGUUGUUGUAAGUUCAUCUGGGCAUGAAGAUGGAUUUAGUGCCAAAGAGUUGAUGGUCCAUGCUCCCACUGUCAGUGGCUGGAGAUCUCCAAGGCAGUUUCUAGCAAAAACACAGACAAAAAGUCUCCAAAGAAGUUGGAAAAUGAUGAAAAGGGUCUGAUGGAAUCUGAUGAACAGGAACUCAUAAACAAAACCGACAACAUAGCGUCUAAUGAAAGCAAUGCUGAACACGUUAAUACAUGUCCUUCUGCAUCCCCCUUUUCUGAUUUGAAUGAGGUUUCACGUAAUGGCUUAACAGAUGACCGUGAGGGUGGAGUAGGGUUUAGUCACAAAACGUCCUCUGAGCCCUCUAAAGUAAGAGAGGUUUAUCUGAAUGGCAGUCCAUUUGUAGAUGAAGACAGCAAUCAACCGAUGCCUCUGGGGCUCUUUUUGAAAAUGCAGAUCUA